rnacentral:rRNA from 1 species
CUAUGCGCCUUGCCAGCCCGCUCAGUCAGAGUUUGAUCCUGGCUCAGGACGAACGCUGGCGGCGUGCUUAACACAUGCAAGUCGAGCGAGGUCCAACCUGUCGCAAGACAGGGGAAGGCCUAGCGGCGAACGGGUGCGUAACACGUGAGCAACCUGCCCCGAAGACCGGGAUAACACCGGGAAACCGGUGCUAAUACCGGAUGCCCUCACCGGAUCGCAUGGUCUGGUGAGGAAAUGGAUUCCGCUUCGGGAGGGGCUCGCGGCCUAUCAGCUUGUUGGUGGGUAACGCCACCAAGGCUACGACGGGUAGCUGGUCUGAGAGGACGGCCAGCCACACUGGGACUGAGACACGGCCCAG